CACGUAGGGGGCGAGCGUUGUCCGGAUUUAUUGGGCGUAAAGAGCUCGUAGGCGGCUCAGUAAGUCGGGUGUGAAAACUCCAGGCUCAACCUGGAGACGCCACCCGAUACUGCUGUGGCUAGAGUCCGGUAGGGGAGCAUGGAAUUCCUGGUGUAGCGGUGAAAUGCGCAGAUAUCAGGAGGAACACCAGCGGCGAAGGCGGCGCUCUGGGCCGGUACUGACGCUGAGGAGCGAAAGCGUGGGGAUCAAACAGG
rnacentral:rRNA from 1 species